AGAUGAUUAGAUUUCAGCCCAGCGUUCUUCCACCGCCUGAGGAAGAGAGGGAAUCAGGACUUUGCCUGGAACUUCAACUGAUGAUUCACUAAAAUAUUGAAUAUCUGCUAAUAAAACAGUGAAAAAUUAUUGGAGAAGAGGGAAAAUCUCAAUCGUAAAAGCCUAAGGAAAGAAUUAAAGGUUUCAGGAUUGAACAAGGAUUCCUAAAUACAUCGUUUCUUUCUCCGUGCCUACAUUUGCAGUCUGUUCAAGCUUACGAGAAAGGACAUUAGGAUAUGGAUCAAAUACAGCGCAUCGAGUUACAAUAAUGCAAGACACAAACCCUC